ACUCAAAUGAAUUGACGGGGACUUGCACAAGCGGUGGAUCAUGUGGUUUAAUUCGAUGAUAAACGAAGAACCUUACCAGGGUUUGAAACCUAGCUGAAUACUUCCAGAAACGGAAGUAGUCGCAAGACAGUUAGGCAGGUGAUGCAUGGCCGUCGUCAGUUCGUGGCUUGAGUUGUUCCCUUCAGUGGGGUAACGAACGCAACCCUCGUUGCCUGUUAUAUUUGUCAGGCGAGACUGCCCACGACAGAGUCCGUGAUUGUUGUACUGUAGCGUACAACAAUCGUUGAUUGUGUCGUGGGAGGAAGGUGAGGAUGACGCCAGGUCAGCAUGUCCCUCUGAUACCCUGGGCUACACACGUGAUACAAUGUUCCAUACAACGGGAAGCAAUGCUGAUAAAAAGCGGAGCAAAUCCUUAUAAAGUGGCACUCAGUUCGGAUUGAGGUCUGCAACUCGACCUCAUGAAGCUGGAAUCGCUAGUAAUCGCAGGUCAGCUAUACUGCGGUGAAUACGUUCUCAAGUCUUGUACACACCGCCCGU
rnacentral:rRNA from 1 species